rnacentral:snoRNA from 1 species
GAUGAUGAUAAUUUUUAAACCUUUGUUGGCCUAUUGAGAACAGAAGGCGACCGCAAGUUGUCUUUUGAAGCCAUCCUUUGGAUUGCAAGAUCCGAAUCUCUCAUUUGCCCUCAUGGGAGAGAAACGUUCUGUUUCUUAGAGAAUCUGGGAGCUUCUUAAUGUAAUGAGUGGCCAACGUUACAAUAGUCAUAGUUACACUGAGU